AGAGGCAUAUAAAAAAGCUCAGCUGGGCAUGGUGCCUCAUGCCUGUAAUCCCAGCAGUUUGGGAGGCCAAGGUGGGUGGAUCACUUGAAGUCAGGAGUUCAAGACCAGUCUGGCCAACAGGAUGAAACUCUCUCUCUACUAAAAAUACUAAAAUUAGUUAGGCAUGAUGGCACACUCCUAUAAUACCAGCUACUCGGGAAGCUGAGGCAUGAGAAUCACUUGAAUCCAGGAGGCAGAUGUUGCAGUGAGCUGAGAUUACACCACUGCCUGCCAGCCCAGGUGACAGAGCAAGACUCUGUCUCAAAUUUAAAGAAAAAAAAAAAAGGAACACAAAUCAAAACCACAAUGAGAUGCCAUCUUACACUUCUCAGAAUGGCUAGUAAUAAAAAAGUAAAAAAACAAAUAACAGAUGCUGGAGAGGUUGUGAAGAAAUUGUAUCCACUGGAAGUAAAUCUUUAACAUAAAAAAAACAAAGUUUCCUAAAAUGAUUACCAUCUGUUUUGACCUAUAUUGUUUCCAGAAGUAUAAUGCAGGCAUGUGUUAAAGCUACCUCCUGAUAGCAUGAGGGUUAGGGUGAGGGUCACAACACUUAAUAUGGGUUGUCACCAGGAAGCUGCUUCUCCCCAUCAGAACUGUAGUGUCCUUCUCUCUACGGUGUGUUGUCAGACAACAUCCAGGUCAAACAAAGUCACUCUGCAACCUACCUUGCUCCUGAUACCCUGUGAAAUGUCCACAAAAGUCAUGCAUAAUAAUGAUCCUGGAAUUUGUAUCUAUUUAAAUUAGUACAAAGGUGAUAAAAAGCACUAUUUAUUUAUUUAUUUAUUUAUUUUUCAGGAAAAAAAUGCAUGAAACCCAAUGGAGGGAAGGUGAGGAUAUGAUUCUGCCUUCUACCCUAGGCCACAAUGCCAAAUGGAUCAGAAGAGCAGCAUGAAAAUGGUACUUUAGAACCUUGAAAACAAAAUCUGAGCAAAAGCCAGGAUCUUUUCAGACUUUACAAAAAUUAAAUUUUUUGUUAUCUUUUGUUGAUGUUGGUUGGUCAAACUUUUGACAGGUGGAGAGAGCACAUCUUUUCUAAAUGACUCAAUAUUUUGGAUUUGGAAGAAGUAAGCACCAAUGAGAUGAGUUUUGUCUUACGAUGACUUGACAUUUACUGUAAUUCUUAGGUGACAUUUUGGAAUACAAACUUUUGAGGGUCUUCCCGGGACUUCAGUUUUUCAAUAAGAUGGUCCUUUGCUUCCU
rnacentral:lncRNA from 1 species